CGAACGCUGGCGGCAGGCCUAACACAUGCAAGUCGAGCGCCCUCUUCGGAGGGAGCGGCGGACGGGUUAGUAACGCGUGGGAAUAUGCCCAAAGGUACGGAACAACAGUUGGAAACGACUGCUAAUACCGUAUGUGCCCUACGGGGGAAAGAUUUAUCGCCUUUGGAUUAGCCCGCGUUGGAUUAGAUAGUUGGUGAGGUAACGGCUCACCAAGUCAACGAUCCAUAGCUGGUUUGAGAGGAUGAUCAGCAACACUGGGACUGAGACACGGCCCAGACUCCUACGGGAGGCAGCAGUGGGGAAUCUUGGACAAUGGGGGCAACCCUGAUCCAGCCAUGCCGCGUGGACGAUGAAGGCCUUAGGGUUGUAAAGUCCUUUCACCGGUGAAGAUAAUGACGGUAGCCGGAGAAGAAGCCCCGGCUAACUCCGUGCCAGCAGCCGCGGUAAU
rnacentral:rRNA from 1 species